rnacentral:rRNA from 1 species
AACAGGGGCGCUCAAAGGUUCCCUCAGAAUGGUUGGAAAUCAUUCAUAGAGUGUAAAGGCAUAAGGGAGCUUGACUGCGAGACCUACAAGUCGAGCAGGGUCGAAAGACGGACUUAGUGAUCCGGUGGUUCCGCAUGGAAGGGCCAUCGCUCAACGGAUAAAAGCUACCCCGGGGAUAACAGGCUUAUCUCCCCCAAGAGUUCACAUCGACGGGGAGGUUUGGCACCUCGAUGUCGGCUCAUCGCAUCCUGGGGCUGUAGUCGGUCCCAAGGGUUGGGCUGUUCGCCCAUUAAAGCGGUACGCGAGCUGGGUUCAGAACGUCGUGAGACAGUUCGGUCCCUAUCCGUCGUGGGCGUAGGAAAUUUGAGAGGAGCUGUCCUUAGUACGAGAGGACCGGGAUGGACAUACCUCUGGUGUACCAGUUGUCGUGCCAACGGCAUAGCUGGGUAGCUAUGUAUGGACGGGAUAAGUGCUGAAAGCAUCUAAGCAUGAAGCCCCCCUCGAGAUGAGAUUUCCCAACUUCGGUUAUAAGAUCCCUCAAAGAUGAUGAGGUGAAUAGGUUCGAGGUGGAAGCGUAGCGAUACGUGGAGCUGACGAAUACUAAUCGAUCGAAGACUUAAUCAAU